AGAGUUUGAUCCUGGCUCAGGAUGAACGCUGGCGGCGUGCCUAACACAUGCAAGUCGAACGGAGUUCUUGAGGAAUGCGACUUCGGUCAAAUGACUUUUGAACUUAGUGGCGGACGGGUGAGUAACGCGUGAGCAACCUGCCUUUCAGAGGGGGAUAACAUUUGGAAACAGAUGCUAAUACCGCAUAAGAUUACAGUACCGCAUGAUACAGUGAUCAAAGGAGCAAUCCGCUGAAAGAUGGGCUCGCGUCCGAUUAGAUAGUUGGUGAGGUAACGGCUCACCAAGUCGACGAUCGGUAGCCGGACUGAGAGGUUGAACGGCCACAUUGGGACUGAGACACGGCCCAGACUCCUACGGGAGGCAGCAGUGGGGAAUAUUGCACAAUGGGCGAAAGCCUGAUGCAGCAACGCCGCGUGAGGGAAGACGGUUUUCGGAUUGUAAACCUCUGUUUUCGGUGACGAACAAAUGACGGUAACCGAGUAGGAAGCCACGGCUAACUACGUGCCAGCAGCCGCGGUAAUACGUAGGUGGCAAGCGUUAUCCGGAAUUACUGGGUGUAAAGGGAGCGCAGGCGGGAUAGCAAGUCAGCUGUGAAAACUAUGGGCUCAACCCAUAAACUGCAGUUGAAACUGUUAUUCUUGAGUGGAGUAGAGGCAAGCGGAAUUCCGAGUGUAGCGGUGAAAUGCGUAGAUAUUCGGAGGAACACCAGUGGCGAAGGCGGCUUGCUGGGCUCUAACUGACGCUGAGGCUCGAAAGUGUGGGGAGCAAACAGGAUUAGAUACCCUGGUAGUCCACACUGUAAACGAUGAUUACUAGGU
rnacentral:rRNA from 1 species